rnacentral:rRNA from 1 species
GUACCAGCCGCCGCGGUACUACGUAGGGGGCAAGCGUUGUCCGGAAUCAUUGGGCGUAAAGGGCGCGUAGGCGGUCAUUUAAGUCAGUGGUGAAAACCCAGGGCUCAACCCUGGGAAUGCCAUUGAAACUGGGUGACUUGAGUGCAGGAGAGGUAAGUGGAAUUCCCAGUGUAGCGGUGAAAUGCGUAGAGCCUGGGAGGAACACCAGUGGAGAAUGAGACUUACUGGA